UGUAGUAUGUGACAAUGGAUCCUACGGGAUAAACUGUUCUGUGUCCUGUAGCAAUUGCAUAAAUGAGUCGUGUGAUCAUCGGACAGGAAAAUGUCAUAUAGAAGGCGGUUGUAAAAUUGGAUACCAGGGUUCAAAGUGUAGUGAAGGUAUUUAAAUGAUCAGUGAGGUGAUAGUUGUGUUUUUACAAGGGUAUUUUGUAUAUUGUUAAAUAGAUGUUUUUUUCUUAUUAUAAAGAUGCAAACCAUGCUGAUUUUAUGAUUGUUUAAGGUAGCCACAAUACAAAGAUUUUUCAUCCCCAAUCAGACAUCUUUAAACCAAUGUAACUCCCUCAUCUUUCUUUAAUUUUUAUAAAUGAGGUACCAAAAGAAAGAGAAGGAUUAAUCUUUUAAAUUAUGAUAAUUUCAUUAUGACAUAAUUAUUACAUAAUUAAUUGUUGUGUAAUUAGGUUGCCAUAUUGUGAUUUCCAUACUUGAAUGAAUUUAGCUUCUUUGUUAUUCAUAGCAUCCCAAAAUAUUUUAUAGAUUCGUUGCACAACACAGUUUGACCUCAAUAUAGCAACUAAUUAAAUAAUAAUUAAUAUAUAAAUAAUUAUGUCAUAAUGAAAUUAUCACAAUUUGAAAGAUUAUCUUUCUUCUUUCUUUGGUACCUCAUUUAUAAAAUAUAAAGAUGGAUGAAAUGAAUUACAUCAUUUAAAGUUAUCUAUUGGAGUGAGAAAAUCUUUGUAUUGUGCUACCUUAAUCAAGUAGAUAACUGUGUUAAACAUUGGGACACAGGAUCAAUAUUCAAAUUACGAUAUUACAGGUAUGUAAGCCGAAAGUUAUAUCUUUACUUACCUUGAUCGUGUAAAGCAAGGUAUCAUGGUAUGAAAUGUAAUCAAUGUAUGUAUACCGAAAUCUUUCAUUUCCUACAUUAUAUCACAAUUAUCUCUAACAAGAAGAAAAAGUAUUUAUUUAAGUAAUUACAGAAGAUAAUUGUUGAUGUUGCUUAAAUUCCCGUGGCAAAAUAUUGCAUGCAUCUUUAGGAUGUUGAGAUAACAUUCAAUAAGUAAGUCCAGUAACUGAUGUCGUCAAGUUGAAAGUCGGAAAUAUAAAUCCCGAACUUAAUUUUAAAUUCAAAAGGAGAGGUUCAUAAAAAACGACAGUAUCGAAUGCUUUCGCUUAUUGAAGAAGUGAAAACAUCGGCCAUUUGAUUGACUUGGUGCUUUCCAAAGGAAAUGUGGUCUAUAUCAAUUAUUGUGGUAUGAGUGCAAUGAGACAACUUCCAUCCAAGCCACAACGUAUAAAAAAGUAAUUGGAAUACAAAUGAAAUAUUUAUAACUUUAAUUUACAAGUGAGAGUUUAGCUACUAUUAAAACCAGGUUCAAUCCACCAUUUUCUACAUUAGAAAAUGCCUGUACCAAGUCAGAAUAUGACAGUUGUUAUCCAUUCGUUGAUGUGUUUGGACUUUUGAUUUUGCCUGUGAUUUUAGAUUUUCCUUUGUUCGGAGUUCAGUAUUUUUUUUUUUUUUUUACUUUUUACAUUUCAAAGAUAAAUUUGAGUUCUGUCGUAUAAUAUUAAAAAAUCCAAUGGUGCAGUAUAUCUGCAGCUCAACAGAAAUAAGCAAAUCACCGAUCUCGUACAUUUAGACAUUUCAAUAUUUUUACGGUUUUUUAAUCAUAUAUUUUGUUAUUACAUAAAGUCAUUUAUUUUUCAUAGUAUCAAAGACAUAUUUACUAUCCUUAAGUAACUUUGAUUAGUAAAAGAACAACAACAAAACAUGAAAUAUGAAAAAAAUACCAAACUUCAAUCGAAAUUCAUAUCAGAGGCCUUAAAAUUAUGUCAAAAUCAAAAAUCAAACAAAUCUGACGAACUGUCAUACUUAAAGGACUAGGGGUUUUAAUGCUUUGAUUCGAUCUGAUGAGUUGAGCCCUUUUCAACUGAUUUUUUAUAGUUUGUUCACAUGUCAUUCUGAUACACCGCUAUCACAGGAUAUUGAGACAUUUUGGUGAAAGGCAAAGGGUAUAAAAAAAAAUGCCGAAAUGUUUUCAUAAAUUACUACGUGUAAAAUUUAGUUUUUCGACAUGAAGGAGUUCUAAACACUUACAAGUACAACAGGAAAAGAGGAAAUAAGAUUUUGAUUCUCUUUAAUAUCUCCCGCCUAAAAUUAAGCAAGUUUAUAUUAAUCUAUGUAUCUGUGUAUAACGAUAGCAUUAUCUUAUUUGAUUGAUUCAUGGAUGGUCAGUUGUAACGUUCAGUGGCAACUAUUUCAUGCAUGUUUCUGUUUCUGUCGAAUAAUAGCCUCCUUCAACAAACUGCAGAUUCUGCUAUAUAGAUUCUGCAUGUUCAGGACGAGAACAAGUUCACAAUAAAUACAAUAGUAAAAGAGGCCAUCCGAGAUGAUGGUCGGGGAAUUUGGACUGCCACUGGAAAAUGAGGGUAUAUUCGAUAGGGACAGAAAUUUUGCCAUGUAACAGGCCAACCUAAAUGAGUUGUUGAAAGGGUUUCUGCUUGCAAAGAGCAUGGCACUCUUUUUACACGAAGUACCGGAUUUAACGUCCACAUUCUGACCGGACCUGGCUGCAAACUUGAUACAUCCCACACUUUAUUUGGGUACAACUGCCGGCAAACAUGUCACUGCGUGAAUGGAACACUGUGUAAUAAUGUUAAUGGUUUGUCUGAGUUAGAUUCAUGUGAUCGUGGUUGGAUGGAUACUUCAUGUGUUCAAUGUAAGCUUGCUAUUGUCAUGGUGUUGACAUCAAAUCGAAAAAGUUUUAACCUAAGGCUAAACUCCUGGUCCUUACAAGUUUAAACAUGUACAAAAAGUUUUCUAUAAUAAGUAAUGUAAUCAAACCAAUUUAAUUUUAAAGACUGUUAUAUAGAAAACAUAACUCAAUAAAGUGUUGAAAAAUAUUAGCACUGAACUAAAAAUAGUACGAGGACAAUUCAAACAAUGCAAGUUGAAAUGCCACUACAUUUUAAAGCAUAUUUAACCGUUUAGUUAUCAGUCGAGAAUCCAACCAAUGAAUUUCAGCAUUUCAGGCAAGCAUGUCACUAUACACCAUUGUAAUCAAUUUGCCUAAAUGCUACGUUUUAACAGAAAAAAAUGAGUAACACAUAGCAAAUUGUUUCUUUGUAAAAAUUAAUCUAAAUUGCCGCAGUUUUUUUUAAAGUAUGUUCGAGUAGUGAUUUAGUCUUUUUUUUUAAUUUUUAAUUAUCGUAGCAUGUUCUCCGGCACAUUUUGGGUAUAACUGCGCAGAAACAUGUACUGGAUGUUUGGAUGACGAUUGUGAAUCAUUUUCUGGUAAUUGUACCAAACAUGGAUGUCGUAAUGGUUAUACAGGAUAUAGGUGCCAUCUUCGAG
rnacentral:lncRNA from 1 species